rnacentral:rRNA from 1 species
AUUGAACGCUGGCGGCAUGCCUUACACAUGCAAGUCGAACGGUAACAGGUCUUCGGAUGCUGACGAGUGGCGAACGGGUGAGUAAUACAUCGGAACGUGCCUAGUAGUGGGGGAUAACUACUCGAAAGAGUGGCUAAUACCGCAUGAGAUCUACGGAUGAAAGCAGGGGAUCGCAAGACCUUGUGCUACUAGAGCGGCCGAUGGCAGAUUAGGUAGUUGGUGGGAUAAAAGCUUACCAAGCCGACGAUCUGUAGCUGGUCUGAGAGGACGAUCAGCCACACUGGGACUGAGACACGGCCAGACUCCUACGGGAGGCAGCAGUGGGGAAUUUUGGACAAUGGGCACAAGCCUGAUCCAGCAAUGCCGCGUGCAGGAUGAAGGCCUUCGGGUUGUAAACUGCUUUUGUACGGAACGAAAAGCCCCGGGUUAAUACCCUGGGGUCAUGACGGUACCGUAAGAAUAAGCACCGGCUAACUACGUGCCAGCCGCCGCCGUAA